CCUACUGGUGACAUCAUUGGGGCAUCUUGCACAAUGGGGGAAACCCUGAUGCAGCAACGCCGCGUGAAGUCCUCCUUUUUUCUUCUUUUUCCCUUCUUUUCUUCCUUCCUUCUAAUGACGGUAGCUAAGGAGCAAGCCACGGCUAACUACGUGCCAGCAGCCGCGGUAAUUCGGAGGUGGCAAGCGUUGUCCGGAAUUACUGGGUGUAAAGGGAGCGCAGGCGGGAAGCCAAGUCAGCUGUGAAAACUACGGGCUUAACUUGUAGACUGCAGUUGAAACUGGUUUUCUUGAGUGAAGUAGAGGUGGGCGGAAUUCCGAGUGUAGCGGUGAAAUGCGUAGAUAUGCGGAGGAACACCGGUGGCGAAGGCGGCCAACUGGGCUUUAACUGACGCUGAGGCUCGAAAGUGUGGGGAGCAAACAGGAUUAGAGACAAGAGUAGUC
rnacentral:rRNA from 1 species